rnacentral:rRNA from 1 species
UACCUACGGGGCGCAGCAGUGGGGGAUAUUGCACAAUGGAGGAAACUCUGAUGCAGCGACGCCGCGUGAGGGAAGACGGUCUUCGGAUUGUAAACUUCUAUUAACAGGGACGAAAGAAAUGACGGUACCUGAAUAAGAAGCCCCGGCUAACUACGUGCCAGCAGCCGCGGUAAUACGUAGGGGGCAAGCGUUAUCCGGAAUUACUGGGUGUAAAGGGUGAGUAGGCGGCAUGGUAAGCCAGAUGUGAAAGCCUUGGGCUUAACCCGAGGAUUGCAUUUGGAACUAUCAAGCUAGAGUACAGGAGA